GGAGGCCGGCGGUGGGCGGUGCCGGGGCACCCGGAUGUGCGGGGGCACCGCGGGGCCGCCGCUGACUCACCCGCCCCGCCCGCCGCGCCUGCGCCUGGCCCGGCCCGGGAGCGGGGCCGCGUCGCGCCGCGCUGGGCCCGGCCGGCGGCUCGGGGGCGGCCCCUGCUCUGUCGCUGUGCCUGUGGAGGGUAAUGCGUGCGGCUACGUGUAACAAACGGACGCGCGUUGAAUCUCUUAACACCGGUGAAAACGCAUUAGAGAACUUUUUAACAGGGCCACAGAAGUAAAUAGGUUGAAAAGACCUCCGAGAUCAUCGAGUUCAAUCUAUGAUCAAACACCACCUCAUCGACUAGACUAUACCACUAAGAGCCACAGCCAGUCUUAAAGACCUCCAGGGACGGUGGCUGCACCACCUGUCUGGACAGCCCAUUCCAAUGUCUAAUGACCCUUUCUACGAAGUAAUUCUUCCUGAUGUCCAAUCUAAGUUUCCCCGGCCCAGUUUCGGGCUGUCUUCUCGUCCUGUCACUUCCUACCUGAAAGAGCCCGACUCCUACCUGGAUACAACCUCCUCUCAGACAGUUGUAGAGAAUGAUUUAUUUGCCUUCCACUCCCAGUAUGGGGAAUCAACUUAGAUGACCAAAUUCAUUUUUACAUCGCAGUGGUGCCAACAGCUGAAGAGAAUCUGAUGUCACCAUUAAAAAACAUCAUGCAACAUGACAGAGGGUCUAGAAUCGUGCUGAGGAACUGAAAUAGUAAUAGAUAGGUCUGAAUUUUUCUCUGAUUAGAUACCACUGUUGCAGUGCUUAUUCUUGGGUUAGAUUUUGAAAAAAAGGUCAAAAAUUUUUGCACUUUACAAGGCAAAAAUUCCCUAUAAAAUGAUUUAGAAAUGCACAAGACAUUAUAUCCCAAUUCAGAGGCAGCAGUGGGAAUAUAGGAACAUGCACACAUACACACAGGACAGCAUUCUGCUCAACUUCCAGGUUCAAGCAUCAGUAAGUUGUGUUAAAGAGAAAACAAGCCUGAAGAGCCUAGCGAGUUACAUUUAACACUCCUUUUAUUGCAGUAGAAAUUUUAGUUUUUAUCAAAUCCUCAAAUUACAGGAUAUACACAUAAUCAAUCUCAUUGCAAGUCUUUAGCAGCUGUACAGCAUUAACUGCAUGCAGUUGCUUCUGCAGUGUGCAAGUAUUCCAUAAACAGCUAAUCACGUUCAGAGAGCAAGACAAGUAGUCAAAGAAUAUCAUAUUCAGUUACCAACUGGUUCAUUAGUACCAAGAGGUUGAGCAAAAAAACCAAUGAAAUAAGUUUAUAAAUACAUGGUUCUGAUCUAAAAACUAAUACAACUGGAAAAUUUGAAUGAUAUCCAUAUCACAAACAAGAUAACUCAAUAGUUACAGGAAAAUACUUUGCUUCAAGACUGUUUUUGAAACUGUUUUCUCAUAAGGUUUCUCUGACCAUGGAAGAAUAGUUGAGUGCUACAGAAUUUUACAAAAGGCCCAUGAAAGCCCUUUAUGCAAUUAGAAUACUAACAAUAACUACAGAAAAUUCGGCAAAUAUUGAAUUUGAAUUUCUUUAAAGAAGUUGUGUUCAGACAGUAUUAUUUUUCCAUGACUUACCCUUCAGCUUCUGGGUGAAUGCAUAACCAGUGUAAUUAAUUUAAGCACUUAACUUAAUAUUCACUUCUGUAGUCAUGACACUGGCUUCAGAUCAGUCAUCAGAUGGAUUUAUGCCAAGAAAUCCUACACCCAUUUGUUUCAGAAGCUGCCUAAACAGGUGCAAUUCUUUAUGCAAAUUUCUCAUCACAAUGAGGGUCUCAGAAACUGGAAUAACAAUUUGUACAGAGCUACCUACAGAUUAAUUUUCUAAAAAGCUAACAUGCUUGAAUUACUGCAGUCUCACAUUUGUGUGGACACUAGAACAAAUCUGCAAUGACUCUGCAAAAUGUACUUCAUUCACAUUAAUUAGUUCAUUUGAGACAUGAUUAAAAGUUUAAGCAUUGUAUUUUAGUCUUAAAAUCCUACAGGUCAGCAGUUUGGCUUGGUAAAACAACUUGUUAUGACAAGAUAACUUCACAGAGUUUUCUGUAAUCAGUCUUGGUAUUUCUUCCAACAGCGUAAUGUAAGAUUGGGACAAAAGGCAGAAACAUGGGAGAAUUCUUUUUAAGUAUUAUUAAUAAAAAUAGCCUCUUGUUCAGAAAGCAGUGUUAUCUCUGUCAGCUUGAUAGAUUUUAAUCCCUUGUGUUAACUUCAAAGUGGGCUGUAUCUCUACACUUAGGAU